GCUUCCUCAGCCUCCUCUGAAGUCUCCGGACAGCCUCAAACAGCUGCAGGUUCAGAUAAGCUGCUUCAUGUGACUCUGAUUCUGGUCGCUAUGAUCACCAUCUUAUCAGCAGCUUUGCUGAUUUUCUACAAGAACAGGAAGAAUAAACCAAAAGGAUCUCCUAUGAAAACCGAACAUGCUGACAUCACA